GCUUGAGGCCAUUCAUUCCAUUCCAUGAUUUUGGCGGCGGUUGUGAGCUGUCCAACGGUCGGUGGUUGUUUCGUAAUGACCUUGCGUAGUUUGCAUUGACCAUGACCUUGCGGCUUUUUUCUGAUGGUAGAAGCUCGUGUAGAGCAUAGCGAUUGCCAUUCCUCUAUUUUGAGCUCUAUCCUUUCAUUUGAAUUUUUAAAUAGCAGUCAGUUGGGCUUGCCAACUUUAGUUCCAAAUGGGUCUAAUUUGGAUCAGUUUUUACAAUCCUAAAAGAAAGUUCCAAAUGGGUACUUUUCUCUCUCUUUUUUUUUUUUUACUUUUUUUAAACUUCAGACCUGUUAGGAUUUGGAUUAUCGGGCGUGACCCGCUUCGAUAACCUAUUAUGGGUCCCUCAGGUACAUCACGUGCUACUUUUUUUACUUUUCUUUUUCUUUUUUUUCUUUUUUUUAAAAAAGGAUUUGGGUUAGUGGGUGAUCCUCUCUAGGAACCCGCUACUGACGCGGCUUCUUCGUGGAGGCUUGUGGCAGGGAAGGUUACCAGCUUCCGCGGAACGCGAUGACGGCUGGGCGAGGAGCCGCGGGUGGCGGUUGCUUAGUAGGAGAUGCUUUGCGGUGACGACGUGCGGGGCUUCUUCUUCCCCUAAUCCGGCGCACGGCGGCGGCAUGCGAACGGGCUCGGGGAGGGACACGGUGGAGCUCCUCGGCAAUGGGAGAUUCCUUUUCUCCCGGAUUUGGUGUGCGGCGGUC
rnacentral:lncRNA from 1 species